GUUCAGGCCAGGACUCUUAUCAAACAUGUGAAGUUUGGGGAAGAUUGAACAUUUUAUGCUUGAGUUACAACAACUUCUCUUGCUGUGGCAAGACAUCAAAUUUUGUCAUGGCGCCAUGGAAACGCCCUUUAACAAAAACUCAAGAUCUACAAAGUUAACAUUGCACAGGCCUUUAGAUUAGACUGACCACAAAAAAUACAUUGAUGUCAUAAAAUUUCUAGGAGUAGUUCAUUGCAGUGUAAAAUAUGUCACUUCCUGUUGCCAGUAGGUGGCGCUAUGACUAUAACUGAAUAUGGGCAUGUCAAUCUGUUCAGGUCAGGAGUCUCAUCAAACAUGUGAAGUUUGGGGCAGAUUGGUCAUUGUAUGUCUGAGUUAUAGCAACUUCCUGUUUCAUGGCGAAUCAUCGAAAUUCGCCAGGCCGCCACGGACACGCCCAUUAACGAAAACUCAAAAGCUUCGCAAUUUAACAUCGCAAAGGCCUUCAGAUUAGGCAUACCAAAUUUGGUGUUGAUCUGAAUGAAUCUCUAUGAGGAGUUCGUUAAAAUACAACGCAUGGAAAUGACAAAAAUGACACAAAAUUUGCUCAUAAUAUUAGUAAUAACCGACUUCCUGUUGGGUUUCGGAUUUUGCUCCAAGAGACUUUUUUGUAGAUAUUGGAGAGUUACAUGUGUAUACCGAUUUUCAUACAUGUACAUGAAACGUAGCUCGAGGCGCACACCGUUGAACGUGUAUAGGUGGCGCUGUUGAGCCAUUUUGGCACACCCACUUCUGAAACCCAUAUCAGACGUAAAUUUUCGCCAGUUCUGAGGUGUGUGCAAAGUUUCAUGACUUUUCGAGCAUGUUUAGGCCGUCAAAAAUGCGAUUCAUCUUAGAGAAGAAGAAUAAUAAUAAUAAGAAUA